rnacentral:rRNA from 1 species
UACCGGCGGCUCGAGUGGUGGCCACUAUUACUGGGCUUAAAGCGUUCGUAGCUGGUCUGUUAAGUCUCUGGGGAAAUCUACUGGCUUAACCAAUAGGCGUCUCAGGGAUACUGGCAGACUAGGGACCGGGAGAGGUGAGGGGUACUCCAGGGGUAGGAGUGAAAUCCUGUAAUCCUUGGGGGACCACCUGUGGCGAAGGCGCCUCACCAGAACGGCUCCGACAGUGAGGGACGAAAGCUGGGGGAGCAAACCG